rnacentral:lncRNA from 1 species
UGACAUACUAAAAUGACAGUAUAUAAUGGACGUGAGGUGUGAAAUAUACGUGUUUUCCUUACCUUUGUGUAUUAUGUGAAAUGAUAUGAAUUAUAAAGGAGGAUUGGUCGGACUUUAUUAAAACUUAAGCCUUUCACAUCUUAAAAUGUUGUUAUGACUUAAUGUGAAGGUGACAAGUUAACAAUUAACACAUUACAAGGC